GACGAACCGUGCGAACGUUGUUCGGAAUCACUGGGCUUAAAGGGCGCGUAGGCGGGCCAUCAAGUCCGGGGUGAAAUCUUUCGGCUCAACCGGAAAAGUGCCUUGGAUACUGGUGGUCUUGAGUGAGGUAGGGGCAUGUGGAACUUCCGGUGGAGCGGUGAAAUGCGUUGAUAUCGGAAGGAACGCCGGUGGCGAAAGCGACGUGCUGGACCACUUCUGACGCUGAGGCGCGAAAGCCAGGGGAGCAAACGGG
rnacentral:rRNA from 1 species